rnacentral:rRNA from 1 species
AGGGAAUCUUCCACAAUGGACGAAAGUCUGAUGGAGCAACGCCGCGUGAGUGAUGAAGGUUUUCGGAUCGUAAAACUCUGUUGUAAGGGAAGAACCAGUACGUCAGGCAAUGGACGUACCUUGACGGUACCUUAUUAGAAAGCCACGGCUAACUACGUGCCAGCAGCCGCGGUAAUACGUAGGUGGCAAGCGUUGUCCGGAAUUAUUGGGCGUAAAGCGCGCGCAGGUGGUUUCUUAAGUCUGAUGUGAAAGCCCACGGCUUAACCGUGGAGGGGUAAUGGAAAACGGGGGGAGUGGAGGGAGGAGAGGGAAGUGGGAAUUCAAGUUGAGGGGUGAAAUUCGGAGGGAAUUGGGGGAACAACAGUGGCGAAGGCGAAUUUUUGGGUCGGAACUUAAGGUGGGGCGCGGAAGGAAUGGGAGCAAACA